rnacentral:rRNA from 1 species
AAAGAAAGUAAGCAAGGGCGCAUGGCGGAUGCCUUGGCUCUCGGAGGCGAUGAAGGACGUGAUAAGCUGCGAUAAGCUUCGGGAAGGUGCAAAUAACCUUUGAUCCGAAGAUUUCCGAAUGGGACAACCCGGCAUUCUGAAGGAAUGUCAUCCAUCCUGGAUGGAAGCUAACGCAGGGAACUGAAACAUCUUAGUACCUGCAGGAAAAGAAAAUAAUAAUGAUUCCCCAAGUAGUGGCGAGCGAACGGGGAUUAGCCCAAACCAAUGUUGUUACGGCAAUAUUGGGGUUGUAGGACCACGAUGUCGCAAGAAAUUUAGUGAGAAGAAUUCUUUGGAAAAUGAAACCAUAGACGGUGAUAGUCCGGUAUUCGAAGCUAAACGAAGCGUAGUGGUAUCCUGAGUAGCGCGGGACACGAGGAAUCUUGCGUGAAUCUGCCGGGACCAUCCGGUAAGGCUAAAUACUCCCGAGAGACCGAUAGCGAACCAGUACUGUGAAGGAAAGGUGAAAAGCACUUCGAAUAGAAGAGUGAAAUAGUCCCUGAAACCGUGCGCCUACAAGCGGUCGGAGCAGCGUAAGUUGUGACGGCGUGCCUUUUGCAUAAUGAACCUACGAGUUACUUUUUCCGGCAAGGUUAAGCAUUUCAAAAUGUGUAGCCGAAGCGAAAGCGAGUCUGAACAGGGCGAUUAGUCGGAAGGAGUAGACGCGAAACCAAGUGAUCUACCCUUGGUCAGGUUGAAGGUUAGGUAACACUAACUGGAGGACCGAACCGAUAAGCGUUGAAAAGCUUCCGGAUGAACUGAGGGUGGGGGUGAAAGGCUAAUCAAACUUGGAGAUAGCUCGUACUCCCCGAAAUGCAUUUAGGUGCAGCCUUGGGAAUUACUACUGUGAGGUAGAGCGACUGAUAAGAUGCGAGGGCUUCACCGCCUAUCAAGUCUUGAUAAACUCCGAAUGCGCAGUAGUUCGAUCCCAGGAGUGAGGGCAUGGGUGCUAAGGUCCAUGUCCUAAAGGAGAAGAAUCCGGACCAUCAGCUAAGGUCCCGAAAUAAUUGCUAAGUUGAACUAACGAAGUCAGAUUGCUAAGACAGCUAGGAUGUUGGCUUGGAAGCAGCCAUUCAUUUAAAGAGUGCGUAACAGCUCACUAGUCGAGGAGUUUGGCGUGGAUAAUAAUCGGGCAUCAAGCAAUUUACCGAAGCUAUGGGAUGUUAACUAAACACUAACAUCGGUAGGGGAGCAUUCCACUCUGCGUCGAAGGUGAAGCGUGAGCUUUGCUGGAGCGUGUGGAAAAGCAAAUGUAGGUAUAAGUAACGAUAAAGGGGGUGAGAAACCCCCUCGCCGAAAGACUAAGGUUUCCUGAUCAACGCUAAUCGGAUCAGGGUUAGUCGGGUCCUAAGGCUCAGCCGAACGGUGAGGCCGAUGGCAGAACAGGUU